rnacentral:tmRNA from 1 species
ACAGGUUUCGACGGGGGUCUGAAUCUUAUAGCAGCGAGUGGAGGUUUUUCCUUGGGGUCCGCCUUAAAAAACUGGGGAUAUAAAUAUAAACGCAAACGAAAAUUACGCAUUAGCAGCUUAAUAUAGUUGCUUGUUCACCCUAGAGACCCACGAUCUAGGCUUGAACAUCAUUUAAGUGGGGAACUACUUUUAGGGGUUGCCUUGACCUAUUAGUUGAUUAACUGGGGCUGGUAGAGAUAAAAGCCUGUCAUUGGGCGCUUUGAUCUACGAGAUUUAAAACAAUGACUGCACUCGGAGAAACUAUUUUUGCAGGGCUUUCGGACGUGGGUUCGAUUCA